AUCCAAGCUUCCACAGGAGAGACGCGGAAACUGCGCACCACAGUCUGGCCCCUUCCGGGCGCAUCCCCAGAGGCAUCAAUGCGAGACAGUUCGUUCGCGACAGGGGUGGAGACCCAGGAAGCAGAGAGGCGCGGGAAUUCCACAGCUCCUCUCCAUCCGGUGAAGAGCCCCGGAACGCCCAGCAACGCAGUGUCGUCCACGCCGAUGUCCAUGUGCGGCGAAGCCUUUGGCACAUAAAACUCGCGUUGGUACGGAACUUGGUCGCAACAACUUCGAGAGAUCGACGCCCUCUGUCGCAAGACUGGCACACGUUGCAGAACCACCGAACUGCGGGGACGCGAGGUCCACCGCGGUACGGGGAAUCUUCCUGCACGUACCGAAGAUAAUACUACGGCGACGGCGCUCCCGUGUUUGCCACUCUCGCGUGGAGAUUUCUGACACGCCUUUCAAUCGCCCCCCAAAAUAGAUAUCGCGUCCCCGCAGCAGCAAAGGUUGCUGGGGAUUGCGUUGCUGUCCCUUUCUUCAAACAUAGCAGUGUCCCAUGUCUUCCCCCCCCCCCCCACCGUCUUCUUUUUCCCUGUCCGCUUGUACGUAUCUCGUGGCAUGUGUGUUUCUGGCGGCGUGAAGCCAACUUCCUAGGCAGGGUUCAGCUUCCCUACUAAGGGAGGGCGCGGACGUAGGCUUAGUGUGUCUUUUUUCGUGUAGAGAAUUCCCUUUUAGGGCGGCUGGAAAGUCUUGUUCGUGGAUUUUUUCGAUCUACAUAGUGCACCUGCUCACGCUCCUCCUCACUCCUCCCAAACGAAACGUGUUCCUCUAUUCUACGUGUUCACACGCAAGAUCCGCUGCUUGUCGCUC
rnacentral:lncRNA from 1 species